rnacentral:tRNA from 1 species
UGGAUCACCUCCUAACAGGGAGACUAACUGAUUGUGAUGUCUGAGCGCUGAGGAAAGAGGUUAGAGAGCUCGAAAGAGUGAUCAAAGCCGAUUAAAUUAGCACAUUUUGUCUCAGGCCACGAUCCUGUCAUCUCGAAGGUCGAUCGGUACCUCAAGGGAGAAGCUGGAAAGUUGAUGAUCGCAAGAUGAUCAAGUUGUCCAGUUUAUCUUUUCAGUUCCUAAACUUUGUCUAGGUCACCCCCCAGAGGGUUACUUCCUGGGCCAUUAGCUCAGGUGGUUAGAGCGCACCCCUGAUAAGGGUGAGGUCCCUGGUUCAAGUCCAGGAUGGCCCAUUCGUGUUUGGGGGUUUAGCUCAGUUGGUAGAGCGCCUGCUUUGCAAGCAGGAUGUCAGCGGUUCGAGUCCGCUAACCUCCAUCCAACGGAACCUCUGAACCACCGGGAGGGAUUCUGGUGGUGGUGACAAAGGACAAUUGGAAUUUAGGUGAUGGUGUUGAAAGACUCCAGCCUCUUCCCCUGGUGAACGCCGAAGGCGCGAGCAACGGGAAGACGCUGGACUCAAGGAGCUGAUGCGAAGGCAUUGGUUCUGUGUUCAGCAAGAACCUUGACAACUGCAUAGGUGAAGUCUGGAAAGAAAGCAUCUCAUGGAUGCCGAAACCAGAAGUAACGAAGCCUGAAAGGGCUGAAGUUAUGGAAGGUUUUGGAGAUUCUUGAGUUUAGAGCCGAGAGCUUCCAGCGGCUUCUUGCUCCGCCGAGGAGGAAGGAGUUUGAUUGCUUUUUUGAACCACCAGCUUGUUUGAUCCUGCAAGGGAAACCUUAAAGGGAGAGAAAUGAGGAGGAAGGCAAAGGAGCAAGAAUAGGAAUCAACACCCUAACUGCUGAGGAGUUGAAAUGGUCAAGCUACAAAGGGCUCACGGUGGAUACCUUGGCACACAGAGGCGAUGAAGG